CGUCGCUUGCCCGCACAAAGGCCGCUAUCGGCAAAUUUGGUCAAAUUUUUUGAAAAUUACUUUUUGUUUGCAUCAUGUAGAGAAUUAAAAAUGCUACAAUUUGAUAUGUCGCUUGUUUCCAGAUUCGUCUUUGUUAUCAAGAUAUUCUUCAAAAACAAAGGCCGCUAUCUCCGUAGUGCACAAAAUUUCCCUGCACAAAGGCCGCUAUUCGCGCUACGGCCUUUGUGCGGUGACAAAAUCCGCGCGUUGAAUGCACAAAAGCCGCAAUACACCAUAUUCUGUCGUCUGCAAGGAAAUCUGGGAGCUCGCGGAGCUAAGUUUUCGUCUGCUAGAUGUAUCAUUCAAAAUAUGCUGAAUGAUACAGAAGACCUGGUUUUGGUCCAUUGGACGAAAACCGGAAAAAAGAAUGUGGUGGCUGUUCAAGAUUUAGAGGAGAUAUAUGGAGUCUGGGUUGGGUCAAGAUGUACAAUGAAGUGGGGACGGCAAAGCUUGAAGGGUACCAUUCUGGCUGUUGAUGACCGGAGAGAGGCUGAGCCAGAGAAACAGAAUGACUACAGCGAUAGUGAUGAUGACAAUAUGCCUUUAGCUGUCCUUGCUAAAAGAUCUGUGAACCGAUUUUCUACUAAAUUGUGGUCAUCCAUCGUGUUUCGUUGAAGUAUGGGCAGCAUGUGUCCGUUGCCAUACAGCUUUGUGUCAUGGGCAUUGGAUGGGGGAUGACCCAUGUGGCUCAUAUUCAUACUUUAGUGAAAUGGUACCUAUCCCAGAGCAACAC